GACUGUGGGCUGAUGACUCUGCCCGUGGAUUUCCAUACUGUGGUUGCAGGUCCUCCAUAAAUGUGUCUGUUGUGUGUGUUUCUCACCAUGGUCCUACUUAUCCGUGUAAAUAUUUGUUUAGAAUUGUUUACUACCAGUGCUUAUUCCCCCCAUUUCAUCUCUGGGAAGCAUAAACAAGCAAUGGACCAAAUAUUUCGAACAGUGGAUACGUCUCCCAAUGAAUCGCAUCUCCUUCUGCCCCUUGCCUGAUGGGUUUAAAGUCUCCAUUAGUGAUAUGUGGCAAAAGGGAACAAUAAUGGCGGUGCUGCAGUGCCAUGAUACCCUGGUUUUUCUCAGUCCCUGAGAUUGAGGAUCACCUCCCAAAAAGAUGUAUCUUUCCCAAUCCUAUAAAGCAGAGAUGUGGAGUGUAA